rnacentral:rRNA from 1 species
GACGAACGCUGGCGGCGUGCCUAAUACAUGCAAGUCGAGCGCAGGAAACUGACGGAACUCUUCGGAGGGAAGGCAGUGGAAUGAGCGGCGGACGGGUGAGUAACACGUAAGGAACCUGCCUCAAGGAUUGGGAUAACUCCGAGAAAUCGGAGCUAAUACCGGAUAGUUCAUCGGACCGCAUGGUCCGCUGAGGAAAGGCGCUCCGGCGUCACCUUGAGAUGGCCUUGCGGUGCAUUAGCUAGUUGGUGGGGUAACGGCCCACCAAGGCGACGAUGCAUAGCCGACCGGAGAGGGUGAUCGGCCACACUGGGACUGAGACACGGCCCAGACUCCUACGGAAGGCAGCAGUAGGGAAUAUUCCACAAUGGACGAAAGUCUGAUGGAGCAACGCCGCGUGAGUGAUGAAGGUUUUCGGAUCGUAAAACUCUGUUGUAAGGGAGGAACACGUACGAGAGGGAAUGCUCGUACCUUGACGGUACCUUACGAGAAAGCCACGGCUAACUACGUGCCAGCAGCCGCCGUAA